UUAUGUUUCUUAUUGUAGCACCUUUUCUGCUGCUGUGACAGCUCUGCAAGGAGUGCAACAGACCACAGCAAGGGCUGACUUUGGUGUACCUGAGUAGGACAGCCUGCUGCUCUACACUCAGAUCUGUGGAAAAGGAUGUCAGUGAAGAAGAUCCUCGGGGUUGUCCAGAUCCUGAUUGGCUUGAUAAACCUCACCUUGGGAAUAACGAUGAUGUCUGUCUCAUUGCCAUCUGAUGGACCAAAACCCACUUCAGUAUACACAGCUUACACAAUAUGGGGGUCAGUAGUGUUUAUUGUUUCAGGGGCCUGGUUAAUUACAGA